GUUGAUUGUAGCUAUGGUGAUGAUGGAAGAGGUCAAAGGUAGACAACUGACACGAGACUGUCUCGACAUCUGUCGCCGAAGAAUGGACAGAUGCAAAUCAAAUUGUAAUCAGGACUUCAAGAACAAAAACAAAAAGAAGAAGUGCAAGAACGUCUGCAGGAAAUCUGAUAAGCAAUGUAAAAAGUUCUGCCGCAACGACGACCCGACC
rnacentral:lncRNA from 1 species